rnacentral:tRNA from 1 species
UUAGCCCGGUUGGUUAGAGCGUCCCGGUUGAAUCGGGAAGGCCGUCGGUUCGACCCGAUACGUUCCA